UGGGGAAUUUUGGACAAUGGGCGAAAGCCUGAUCCAGCAAUGCCGCGUGUGUGAAGAAGGCCUUCGGGUUGUAAAGCACUUUUGUCCGGAAAGAAAUCCUUGGCUCUAAUACAGUCGGGGGAUGACGGUACCGGAAGAAUAAGCACCGGCUAACUACGUGCCAGCAGCCGCGGUAAUACGUAGGGUGCAAGUGUUAAUCGGAAUUACUGGGCGUAAAGCGUGCGCAGGCGGUUUGCUAAGACCGAUGUGAAAUCCCCGGGCUCAACCUGGGGACUGCAUUGGUGACUGGCAGGCUAGAGUAUGGCAGAGGGGGGUAGAAUUCCACGUGUAGCAGUGAAAUGCGUAGAGAUGUGGAGGAAUACCGAUGGCGAAGGCAGCCCCCUGGGCCAAUACUGACGCUCAUGCACGAAAGCGUGGGGAGCAAACAGGAUUAGAUACCCUGGUAGUCCACGCCCUAAAACGAUGUCAACUAGUUGUUGGGGAUUCAUUUCCUUAGUAACGUAGCUAACGCGUGAAGUUGACCGCCUGGGGAGUACGGUCGCAAGAUUAAAACUCAAAUGAAUUGACGGGGUCAUA
rnacentral:rRNA from 1 species